rnacentral:tRNA from 1 species
AGGUAAUUAGUUUAAGAAAAACAUUUGAUUUCGGCUCAAAAAUUGGUGGGUAAAGUCCACAAUUACCUA